CCGCGCGCCCUGCGCCCUCCUCAGUCUCCGGGCCGCCGGAUGUCCCCCGAGGAUGCUGAGAGCACCCGCAGCUGACCAAACGCCUGCGUCACGGGACUUUGAUAACCGAUUCCUGUCGCGUUGCUCUCUCGAGAACUCUGGUUUGCGUUACUUGAAGGAAGACUGCGUUACGAGGCCUGUGAGCGGGUCGGGGCUGUGGGCCGUGACUGACUUCACACCUCAGCUGGCCCUCUGGCCCUGGCGUCUCCCUCAGGCCUGGAACGAGCCCGGAGUCCAGAUAACUCCAUUUGAAGUACACCAGUCCGAGGACGGGCAGUGUGAGAGGAGAGGCCGGGCCCACCCGUGUGCGGCGUGGGGAAUGGCGAAAAAGCCGCACGAAUCAAAAACUCGACGUGGCAAAUUUCAAAGAGUAAUUUAAACGCGAGGUGGGGCGGGUCCCGGUGUCUUCCGAAUUUGGCUCACAUUUGGCAGCUGCUCCUUGGGCAGGGAAAGGAGUGGCAGGAGCUCAAGCGCUGGGAGAAUAGCAGGUGUGUGGAAGAGAACCCUCCCGGCCUUCGCGGCUCUGCUUACCCGGACAGACUCCUGUUCCACCUCCCGGUAGAUCGCGACUUGAGAUCACAACCCGACUUACUGGGGCAGUGACCUACAAGCAGGUCGUGCUGCAGAUCUGACAUCGGAAAAUCACAAAAACGAUCAAAGAUCUCCCUUUCCCCCAAACCCCUCAGGAAUACUCUUUAGCUUCAUAGGUGGACGCUUCUGGUUUCACACCCUGCUUCACCUGUAAGAAUGACAGCAAAGAUGUCUACUGCCAAUGGAAGGCCACCCUGGAGUAAUGAGUAAAGAGGCCCUAAACACCACAGGAACUCACUAAAAGCAAGGAAGGUCUUUGAAAUCUAUUAGAUUAUCUUAAAAAUUGUGAUUCUUUUCAUGUAAAUAUCUCAUAAAUUAAUGAGGUCGAUCAGUGCUUUAACAUUUUCAAAAAAAAAGUUGAGACUGAUGAUGUUUUUAAGAGAUAUGCCACUUUUACAACAUAGCUUUGAGACCUGCUAUUACUGCACUGAACCCUGGAAAUUCACCUGUCUUGGAUAGAAGUAUGACAGUAGAAGAGAUCACAGGAAGAAAAUCAAUGCUGUUAGGGCCUGAACAUCUUUGUGGUCAGAGAUGGCUGGAUGGUUGAACAAUGAAGGGUGUUUUUCUGGAAAACUUCCCUGAAGACAGUUUAUUGGUCUGCCAGGGCUGCCACAACAAAGUACCACAGAAAAGGUGGCUUGAACAACAGAUUUAUUUCUUCACAGCUCUCAGGCUGGAGAAGAUCAAAGUGUCCACAGGGUUGAGUGCUUCUGAGGCCUCUCUGCUUGGCUAUAAACAGAUUUAUUGAGUGCCAUUGAACCAGAGACCUUUGGAAAGAUCUUAUUACAAAAAGAGCCUCCGGGUUGAGUACGCCUUUUCCAGGAACAAGAAAAUGAAAGAUGAUGAGAAUCCAGGAAAAAGCACACAUGGAUAUACACGUAACCAUCAACUUUGUUUUAUUUGUCUUAAGGUGGUACCGCCGAGUCUUCUUUACCUAUAUCAAUACACCAAUGUCAAAGAUCUCUGGUCUUUGAAAUUUUAAUUUUAAUAGUUCAGCUCCAUUUUUAAUGAUGUAAAAGUUCUUUAGGAGUUCUUACACCAGUUUUAGAUCAGUUCUGAAGUUUUAUGGGAUAAGGCUUGCCAUUUUCCACACACCAGAAGUUACUUUAUUUGAAUACCAGGGUGUGUUUCUGCCUGCAUACUGGCAAAGACUAUUGGAAAAAAAAGUGUGAAAUUCAAUUUUAUUGCUACCAGAAAAUAUUAGCCAUAAGGUGGAAAUGUGAGAAACCUCCCACUUUGCAAGAGAAAGCCAAGAUAUCAGGACUCUGGGCUCUGUCCACCUUGGUAAUGAGUUCUUAGAACAUUUUACCUAAAGUAGAGAAUCCUUUUUUAAUUAUAGUCAUGAAAGGAGAGACCUACCAUUCUUCACCCUUUCCUGCGUCUUACUGGCUAAAAUGUGGAUAUCAAUGGCUAGAGUUAUGAGUAACCAGUGUGAACAAUGAUGUGGAAACCAUGUGUUGAGAAUGGCAGAGAAACAAGAGAGAAGCCUGGGUAUGCUGAUGGUCGUGGAGCUGCCAUUCAAGUCCAGGACUACAAGAAGGAGAAAGAGACUUUCAGUUUGUUUAAGUCAGAGGCUUGUGUCUUAAUGAAGACAUUAAGGUAACUGGAAGCCAAGAAUUCACUCUCAGCUGACCCUAUCAAGGAAAUGUUAAUACAUGUACUACAGGCAAAAGAUAAUAGCCCCAGAGGAAGAGCUGACCUGCAAGAAAGAAUGAAGAACAAUGAACGAGGAACCUCUUCGAAAGAGAAUGCCAUGAGGACAAUGCUGGUCCUGUGCUCUUGGAGGAACCUGGAUGUCGUUAAGACCUAGCCUGCAAGGAUUCUGGUUUAAAAUCUGCUCCAAUUUCUGACUAGUCUCUGAGUCACAUGUGUGCAUUGUGUACAUGUGGAGUAGACUCCAAACAAUGCGGCUAAGACUAGGAGAACCGAACUGGGAUUGGAGCCACUGCUAGGUGGCCAGUUUGUCAGUUUGUCUGGGACUCUCCUUGGUUGAGUACUGACAGUCUUUAUUCUGGGAGCCCCUGUCAGUUCUAGGAAAAGUGGAUGACUGCUCACUCUGAAUGCUUCCCAGAAGACAGCGAAGUGCGUAAGCGAAUGAACAAAAACCACCAGGAGGAACAUUGUAGAUUCGAGAGUCUCCACGGCAUAGCAUUCAUGCUGUGUUGCGGACAGAAUGUUGUGUCCUUCUCAUAUUUAUGUGUUGACAUCCAAGGAGUGGGGCCUUUGGGAGGGAAUUAGGUCAGGAGAUGAAGACUCUCAUGAAUGGGAUUAUUGUAAGAAGAGAAUAGGAACUGCUUCCUUCUCUUGCCAUGUGAAGAUUCAGGAAGAAGACUACUGUCAGCCAGGAAGCAAACCUGCUAGCCUCUUGAUUUUGGAGUUCCUGGCCUCCAGAACUCUGAAAAAUAAAUAUUUGCUGUUGAAGCUCCCCUACCUAUGGUGAUUUGUUAUGGCAGCCUGACCUAAGACAUGAUGUUCAGCAGAAAGAGAAUCUCUGGAGACAGCCACUCAAGAUGAUCAAAUCAUUGGGAUUAUUGGUAAAAAGGCCUGUAAGCAUAUUUAAUUACUUGAAAGAAAAUAAGGAAUGAAUGAGAAAACAGGCACUCUCAGAAGAAAAAUGGAAAGUAUUAGUGAGAACCAAAUAGAAAUUUCAUCUUGAAAACAAAUUUUUAAAAAAUUCCAAUAUAACUAACAGAAAGAAAGAGAAGAUAAUGAACAAUCUCAUGGACCUUUGGUCUGACUUAGAGCUAAGGUAAUUGGUGUCCCCAAAAUGAUGAGAGAGAAAGAGACAAAUGAGCAAAAAUCAACUCCUCAAGUUCAAUGAAUGAGUGAGAAAAUUAAUGAGUAUUGUAGAACCUCUAUGAUAGCAGAAUAAA